GAUGAAGAACGCAGCAAAAUGCGAUAAGUAAUGUGAAUUGCAGAAUUCAGUGAAUCAUCGAAUCUUUGAACGCACAUUGCGCCCGCCAGUAUUCUGGCGGACAUGCCUGUUCGAGCGUCAUUUCAACCCUCAAGCACAGCUUGGUGUUGGGACUCGCGUUAAUUCGCGUUCCCCAAAUUGAUUGGCGGUCACGUCGAGCUUCCAUAGCGUAGUAGUAAAACCCUCGUUACUGGUAAUCGUCGCGGCCACGCCGUUAAACCCCAACUUCUGAAUGUUGACCUCGGAUCAGGUAGGAAUACCCGCUGAACUUAAGCAUAUCAAUAAGCGGAGGA
rnacentral:misc_RNA from 1 species